UACGGAGGGUGCAAGCGUUGUUCGGAAUCAUUGGGCGUAAAGCGCGUGUAGGCGGCUUGGCAAGUCGGUUGUGAAAGCCCGGGGCCCAACCCCGGAACUGCAUCUGAAACUGCCUGGCUAGAGUCCCGGAGAGGAAGGCAGAAUUCCCGGUGUAGGGGUGAAAUCCGUAGAUAUCGGGAGGAAUACCAGCGGCGAAGGCGGCGUUCUGGACGGUGACUGACGCUGAGACGCGAAAGCGUGGGGAGCAAACAGG
rnacentral:rRNA from 1 species